rnacentral:other from 1 species
GAGUUUCCGUGGGGAACGUGAAAAUAAACUCUACAAGACCUAAUAAAUAGGGGACCGUCCCUGGUAAUGGUGAGCAAGCUCAACCUGUAUUGAGAAGCCUAAAGUUACUAUAAUGGUUACCCACUUUAAAUAAACUUUGGGUUUAUUAUCAUGUCCCGCGGAAACAUU